rnacentral:rRNA from 1 species
AGAGUUUGAUCCUGGCUCAGGAUGAACGCUAGCGGCAGGCCUAAUACAUGCAAGUCGAACGGGAUCCACCAGCUUGCUGGUGGUGAGAGUGGCGCACGGGUGCGUAACGCGUGAGCAACCUGCCCGUCCCAGGGGGAUAGCCCCUCGAAAGAGGGAUUAACACCGCAUGACGUUGCGAGAUGGCAUCAUCUUGCAACCAAAUAUUCAUAGGGGACGGAUGGGCUCGCGUGGCAUUAGCUAGUUGGUAAGGUAACGGCUUACCAAGGCAACGAUGCCUAGGGGCUCUGAGAGGAGAAUCCCCCACACUGGUACUGAGACACGGCCCAGACUCCUACGGGAGGCAGCAGUGGGGAAUUGUUCGCAAUGGGCGCAAGCCUGACGACGCAACGCCGCGUGGAGGACGAAGAUCUUCGGGUCGUAAACUCCUUUCGAUCGGGAAGAACGGCUUCCGGCCUAACACGCUGGAAGAGUGACGGUACCGAGAGAAGAAGCCCCGGCUAACUCCGUGCCAGCAGCCGCGGUAAUUC